ensembl:snRNA U1 U1 spliceosomal RNA
CUACUUACCUGCAGGGAAGAUACCAUGAUCAAGAUGGUGGUUUUCCCAGUUGAUGGUCAUUGUUGCAUUUGGGCUGUGUUGACUCCUGAGAUUUUCCAAAUUCGGGAAAUACAACUUCGUAAUUUGUGGUGAUGGGGGAUUGUAUUUGUGUUCUUCCUGU